GUCGUCUCAGCUUCUGAGAAUCAUUUUCCUUUUUCUCCCAACAGACUUUGCCUUUGAGACUUUCAGUUGAACUUUAACCGUCAAAUCUUCGUAGACCCCAUCCAAUCAUUACCUUCCACAUUUCCACCCCCGACGGAAAAGUUUGAGGAAGAAAUUAGACAAAUGGAGAGCGAUCUCUUGGAAAUCUCUGGAGAAGACGACGAUUCGUUGCUUUCACAGCACGCUCAAGCCCAAACUGACGACGUUUCGGCCUUCAACACUUCCUAUUUCUCUUGCUCCCCUCUCCAUUUCCCUAGAUCUAAUCCCCUAGGUGAGAAAGUCAAAAACCCUAGUUUUUCAUCGAACAUUGACAAAGAAAAUAUUAACAAUAAUGCGAGUAAAUCAGAACUUCCAAAGCUAAGCUUGGAUCCACAGCAAAUGAAGAGGAAGAGAAAAGGUAGAGGUUAUAAUUUGAGGAAAAGCUUAGCUUGGGACCGCGCUUUCUUUACUGAAGAAGGUGUUUUGAAUUCGACGGAAUUAUCUUUGAUUAGUGGGGAUUUCGGUAAUUUGAGCGGGGAGAAAUUGUCGGUUAUUGAAGAAGAGAGGAUAGAAUCGUUAUGCGGUGAUUCACCUGAUUUGCAGGCACUAGAGAAUAAUUUAUUUAAAGAGUUGCCUUUAAAUAAUAGUAAUAAGAAUGAGCAGAAGAAGAUUGGUAGCAGCUUAUUGCAGAAGAGUUCGGGUUCAGCCCCCCGUUCUGCGGUGAAACAGAAUGUUCUUUCAGUUCAUGAUGUUAAUAGAAGUGGUUCUAAGCGUAGCGGUUGUCCAAGGCCUGUUAUAUCAUCUGCUCUUAAAAGACCUGCAAAUGUGAGCACAACAAAGGCAGCAGCUAAGGAGCCAAUAAUUUCUAAAAUACCUGUUCGAAAGCCAGAUUCCCUAGUACUUUCUACAACUGCCAAGAGUGCCUCAAACAUCAAUAAAGCAAAGGGGAAUCAGAGUGCUCAAGCAGUCAAUGCCCACAGAAACAUUGGAUUGUCGGGUUCCAAGAGAAGUACUAGAAGCACUCAAAAUGAUGCAAAGUCUAGUCUUUCUAGUAGAUCUCAAAACACAAAGUCCUAUGCUCAACAGGCUAAGAGAAAUGUGGGAAGCUCAGCAUUGGCAAGUCAUUUAUCAACCUAUUUACACCAUCCAUCAGUUACUAAGGCAGAUAAUGGCUUAAAGGGCAACCAAGAUCCUGUUGUGGCUGCGGCUCAUGGAUGUACUAAUCAUGAAGCUGGUUCCAGCAAAAUUGCUUCUCUUCCUCAAAGUGGUUGCCGUAUUGGUGGAAACACUCAAUAUGCACAGCCACGAAUAGCAAAACCAUCUGGUUUACGGAUGCCUUCACCAUCAUUGGGAUUUUUUUCUCAGUCAAAGACUAAUUCUUCACAGAAUCCACAGAGUAGUUCUCAGCUAUUCAACAACCCAAAGUCUAAAAUUCCAAAUCUGUUGAAGCUUGGUGUCUUCAAUUCUAUUUGUGAGAGCCCCACUCCAUCUAUGAAAGUACCUGUAGUGAAUAAUGGUGUAGCAGCAACAAAAACCGGAAGUAUGUCAAGUACAGAAUCCUCUGUUCCAUCAAGUGUUAAUUCUUUAUGUGAAAAUAUCAGACCCAACUUACAAAUGCCAAGGGUGGAAGUGAAGGUUCUCUGCAAUUCUGACAACCAUGAAUUGAUGAAUAAUCAGCAACAAUUGCACACUAUUGACAAUGAUCUUAAUCAGCAAAUUCAAAAUGUAGGAUUGCAGUGUACUGAUAACAAGUUACUCUUGCAAAGUCAAUCCUCCGAACAAGUGAACUUAGAUUAUAAGAGGAGUGAAGAUCUGGUUAUCCCCCAAAGUCCAGAUCAGCAUGCGGAUGAAUCUAAAGAUCCCCAUUUUAUCUCUCAUUGUAGCCUGCAAAUAAAAGGAGCCUUGAAGACUGAUGUUGGCAACCAACUUUCAGGAAAGAAACAGCAUAAUUCAUUAAUAGAGGAUUUUGAUCUCUUUCCACAGUUGCAUUCUAGUGAUAUGAAUAGUAAUAAUAUACAUGGUUCUUCAAAAGUAAAAGAUGAUCAAAUAAGCAGCACGCCUGAUAGUCAUGGCCAACCAAGUGAACAAGUUGAGCAGGCAAAACCUUGCACCUUUCAUGAUGAUCAGAUAAUUAAUGAGAUUGAGAGGCCGCAUAUUAAUGAUAGUGCUAUGCUCAAGGAGGGUGAAGAUUCAGAAGAAUUUCUUAGUUACAAUAGUGUGCAGAGUAAUGGUAUUUGCCAAAAAGUCAGAGAUUGCAGUGCCAGUGAAUUAGAAAUGUCCAAUGGUCUAUCUCACUAUAGAGACGGAAUCCAAGGAAACGAUGGUUCUGGUGAGUCUGCUGAUUUUAAUCUGAAAUCAAAUGUGGGAGAUGCACAAAUGCAUUCUUUCAAAUGUGACCUAUCUCUUGAAAACAGCAGUAGUCUCCUGAAUGAUUCAGAGGCGGAUAAUCAGCAGUUACUUGUAGAGGAUGUAAAUGAAAAACUAGUUGAACCGCCACCUCUUCCAGAUCCAGGCAUUGUAGUAGAAAGAGUCUUCCAGGAUAAGUAUGGAUCACAUUCAACUGAUUGCUUAUCACGCGGGGAAAUCUUUUCUUCUGAAAAGGUUUUAGCUGAAAGCAAUCUUCAAAGUGUUAAAGAUGUAGCAUCAGAACCAGCUGAUGCCUUUCAAAGUGAACCAGGAAAUCCAGGUGCUCCUUGUUUGAUACCGCCUGCAUUGCAAAAGGGUGGUCAUGAGAUGACUGAUGUGGUUGAGUGCCUAUAUGUGGAGCAUGUGGUCUCGGUUUCUACUGAUACACAGUGCAACUGUGACAUUAAUCUCCUUUGUGAACCCACAUCUGAGGGAUUAGAAGGGAUCGGUGAAGAUCAAGUAACCGGAUCAAUAACUGCUUGUGAUAUUGGUGUCAGUAAUGACCGCCAAAGCAGUGCAGAUCUUAGUGGUAGUGAAAUUGAUAAUUACCAGUCAAUAGCACACUUUAGCCCAGUAGUGCAAUUUAAAGGUUAUUCUGAGAUAGAUGAUAUCACUGACCUUAAAAGUGUUGAAAGCAAGCGAUAUGAUUCGUCUGCAAAAUAUAAUUCUGCCAUUAGUGAGCCUGAAGAAAAAAUCACUUCUUGUCAUAUUGAUGCAUCAUCUAUGCUCACUAACUCAUUGCUUGAUAAACAAAAUGACCAUGAAAAGUCUAUGGCCCAAGCUGAGCUGAUACAGUCCUCCUUUGAAGCUUGUAAAGCAUCCCAACAGAAUCAGAUUCCAGAUGCAUAUCACAGGCUUAAGUCUGUGGAGGGAAAAUUUGCUGAAGAGUCCCAUAAUUUGGACAGUAAUAAGCUUGCAGAUGUCAGUCCCGAAGAUAAAGGUUCUGUUGGAUUAGUAGUGGAAGGUCCUUUUGGUCUGUCUCAGGUAGAAUGCAUAGAUGAAACAAAUGAAUUAUGUGCUGCUGGAGCUAACGAGACGACUACAAGAUCUUUUGAGGAACAUGCACAUUCGCAGUCCUUUGAUAGUAUUCCACUUGAGAGCUGCAAAAGUAACCUUUUCACUUCAGCAGAAAUUAACAAUUAUGCAAUGGUUGUUGAGGAUUUAAAUGACCCUCCUGAUCUUCAAAAUGUUGUCAUUGUUGAACAAAUUUUGUCAGACAAAAUUGGAUUGUCUGUGAAUGAGGAAGUAUCAAGUUCUGUUAAGAUUAAGGUGUCAGAUGACAAUCAUGAUUGUUAUAAUGAUAUGAUCUUCAGGCCUGACAGUGAACAAAGUGGCCAAGCAACCUCUUUGAAUUUUGAUUUGUCUUCAUUGAGUGAAGAUCAAAAUUCUGGGGCAGUAAAUACCUGCAAUUCACAGGCAUUUUGCUCUUUGAAUGAGGAAUCAACAUCCUCAAUCAAUGCAAAUCAGACCUCUUCAAGUGGAAUUGUCUUACAGGAAGAAGUGAAUAGAUUGGAGAAAAGUGUGCCACAGGAAUUAAACAGUGCUAUGAUCCCCAUGGAAGCUGAGGGUGGACCAACUUCUAAUGAGAAAACUGGGGAUGACAAAAAACAAGAUGCUCCCAUAGUGAAGCCUCCUCUGAAUGCUGUUCCAUCUUCUGAUGAAUGGUUAGCUGCAUUUGAAGCUGCUGGAGAGGAAUUAAACACUGCUGUGAUCCCUGUGGAAGCUAAGGGUAGAACGACUUCUAAUGAGAAAACUGGGAAUGAAAAAAAACAAGAUGCUCCUGUAGUGAAGCCUCCUACAAAUGCUGUUCCAUUUUCAGAUGAAUGGUUAGCUGCAUUUGAAGCUGCUGGAGAGGAAAUUUUAACAAUGAAAAGUGGUGCUGUACAACAUUCACCCAAGGACAAGUCUCUGCCUGAACCUGGUCCAUGGUCCCCGGUGAGAAGGAAGAACAAUCAAGGGAUUGGACCAUUUGAUUGCACAAAAUUUACAAACACAAACAUCCCACCUGGUCUUGAGUAGAGGAGGCUGAGGCUCACCUAAUCAUCUGUUUUUUACAGCUAACAAAAGUGACAAUUCUACUAUCACGCAACACCUAACCAAGGUUUGAGCAAAUAUAUAAAUAUAAAUGCCACAAUUCUGGCAUAUUUCAAGCUUCUUUUGUAUAUCAGUUUGAUCAGUUUUCAACUAGACUUAGCUGGAAAUUUGUACCGCCGGCCAAUCAAACUUUCCUAUGAUCUCCAGCAUCCAAGACUGUCUGUGCCAUGACCCCGGCUUCAGAGCUUACCCUUAAACAACUUCAAGACUUUCACAAUAUCGACCGCCAGGCAUAUACUAGACUGGUAAUAGGCCUAGGCUUCGACCUUUUCCCAUCCAUGAAAAUCGUUGCCUUUUGGAAUUUUCUUGAAAGAAGAGGCUUCAAGCAUUUCGUCAAGAACCUCCAACAAUUACCUGAUCCAUUGCUUUUUUCUUUAGCCAAAGAGGCCAUAAUGUUCUUACACUGCUUAUACCUUUCUACUCAAGAAAUCUUUCCAAGGGUCCAUAGAGAUUUCCCUGUUACGCGUAAACUCGUUGGUCAACAUAUCUCGUUGGCUUAUCUUUUUAAGAACAGGGAAUGCCCCAAAAGAAUGAUUGAGGAUUUCGUCGAAGAUGUGUGCCGACUAGCAUUUUGUGAUAUUGUUCUAACGCGUUUGGCUUGCAAGAAAUCUUCAAAAUCUAACAGUGCAUUGCAAUGCCAAACUCCUCAUGGGGGAAAAAUGCAACAGAAGGUGGCUACUGCGACAAAGGACAAGGCUAGAGUUGGUUCAGAAGAUCGAACAUUGUUCAUGACCUUCUCCAGGGGACAUCCUGUUAUAAACCAAGAUCUUCAUGGUUUCAUUGUCAGGAAAUUUGGCGAAUGUGUGGAGGCAAUCUAUAUGGAUAAAAGCCCGCUCCCUCUGUUUGCUUGUGUUGUUCUUAAGUCACUCUCGGACAUGUCAAUGAUUCUUGGGGGCAAGAAGUUGGUGAAAUUCUUCAUUAAUGGGAAACAGGUUAGGGCUAGAAGAUUUGUCUCAAGAAGUGUGAAGCAGUCUCGAUGCACAGCAGCAAGAGCAACAGGUAUUCCUGAAAGGCGACUUAGCAGUUUUUGCUAGACGGAAGAUCAUACUGUAUUGUACUAAUUUACUGCUAAUUACUAAUAGGUGUUUGCUGGUAGAAGAAACUGUUUAGACAAUUGCUAAUCUAGGACAAGGUUUCUAAAAUGAGAAAAAAAGAAAAAACAAGAACAUUCUUUUGUAGCUUGUUUGGUUUCUGAUAGAAGAGCCGACAUACCAAAAUCCACUGUUCAAUAUACAAA